rnacentral:rRNA from 1 species
GACGAAGGUGGCGAGCGUUGUUCGGAGUCACUGGGCAUAAAGCGCACGUAGGCGGUGCCGUAAGUCGGAUGUGAAAUCCCUCGGCCUAACCGAGGAACUGCGUCCGAUACUGCGGUGCUUGAGGAUCAGAGGGGUGCAUGGAAUUUCCGGUGGAGCGGUGAAAUGCGUUGAUAUCGGAAGGAACUCCGGCGGCGAAAGCGAUGCACUGGCUGAUUUCUGACGCUGAGGUGCGAAAGCCAGGGGAGCAAACGGG